rnacentral:rRNA from 1 species
UAACGAAUAUUCCGCAAUGCGCGAAAGCGUGACGGAGCAAUGCCGCGUGUGGGAUGAAGCCCCUAGGGGUGUAAACCACUGUCAGGGACCACCAACACAAUGAGGAAUCCCAGAGGAAGGACCGGCUAACUUCGUGCCAGCAGCCGCGGUAAUACGAAGGGUCCUAGCGUUAAUCGGAAUCAUUGGGCUUAAAGGGUGCGCAGGCGGGCCUGCAAGUGCCUUGUGAAAUCCCCGGGCUCAACUCGGGAAUCGCUCGGCAGACUGCGGGCCUUGAGGACGGCAGGGGUCGCCGGAACAGUAGGUGGAGCGGUGAUAUGCGUAGAUAUCUACUGGAACGCCAAAGGUGAAGACAGGCGACUGGGCCGUUUCUGACGCUCAGGCACGAAAGCGUGGGUAGCGAACGGGAUUAGAUACCCCCGUAGUCC